CUAGAAUAAAUAUUUUUUUAUAUAAAAAGACCCAUAGAGUCAACCUCAAUUUAUUGAAUCUUUCAAAACUAAAUCAUGGAUAUCUGAUGGAUAAUCUAAAUUGAAAGUCAAAUUACAAUUGUUAACAAUGGCCUGUUUACAAAGAAAAUCAUCAAUCCUAUUACAACACCUAUUGGCCCAAAUAACAUUUGAAGAAGUGAAAUUUGUCAUCUGCUUGUAGACCUCAUCGGUGCGGUGGCCCAAGAUUAUUAUGUAUUUUCCCCUAUUGUUUAUGCGGUUGACCAAACUGAUGCAGUCAGUUUCAAACUAAACUUUAUUGAAAUUAAAAGCUUUAGCAAAUUUUAGACUUUCCUCAAACACUUUUAGCUUAACCCAUUCAGCAUGCAUGUUCGUAUUAAUGAUGCUUUCCCCCUAAAACAAAACCAUCCGAGUCCUGAGAAGUCAUCCCAUAGACCAUUUUCUGAUGCAGUUAGUUUCAAACUAAACUUUAUUGAAAUUAAAAGCUUUAGCAAAUUUUAGACUUUCCUCAAACACUUUUAGCUUAACCCAUUCAGCAUGCAUGUUCGUAUUAAUGAUGCUUUCCCCCUAAAACAAAACCAUCCGAGUCCUGAGAAGUCAUCCCAUAGACCAUUUUCUUCGAUGAAACAGCGGCAUCAAAUUAAUUUUCACGGUGCCAUGAGGGGGUUUCAGCCAAUUUUUUUUCAACCGGAGUUACAGGCAACAGAGGUUUAUUGACCAAGUUAUGAAUGUGAAAUUCCUGACACACUGUUAAGGCUCUCUUCCAUACCACCCUAGCUUAUAACUCUUUACCUCUGAAAAUAAAAUUGUUCCUAUUAUUCCAGCUAUUCCAAAGAGUAGUAAUGAAGUCAGAAACAACUUUAAGGUCCAGCACUCGCAUAAUGUCUUCUAUCCAGUCAAUGCACUAUAUGUAAUCGCCAACGAGAAGUUUAUUGUUAAGACCACCUAAGACAAGGAUUUCACGAGCAUUGGGACAAUCUUUUAAUGCAUGAUAAAGGUUUCAACACAAGCCCUGCAUCUAAGGCAUUCUUUCUUGAACUCCUUGCGAAUGGUAGAAAUUUUUUGAUAUGUGGGAAGGAUAUCAUGUCCCACUUUCCAGUAGAAAAUGCUAAUUUUAGGAAGAGUCUUCAGCUUCCAAAUGGUUCUCCAAAAGAAACGGUACGGGCCAUGGCCAACCUGUUUUAGAAAAAGCUAAGAAUAUGUGAACUUGGUCGUAUAAUAACUGUAGGGAUUAUGGAACCACCCUUUUCUGUCACUUGGACCAUUAGGAAUAAUGGGAAUUUUUCAAAUCUGCUCCCCAAUCUCCCGAUCAAAACCCAAGUUGUUGAACCAAAUAUCAAUGCUUCUCCCAUCUCCCAUCAUCCAACCAAAGCCAUUUUUUAAAUAUCUUGCAGCCACGGCAAUACUCUGCCAAAGGUAAAAAGGUUUAUCGAUGCACUUGGGUUAACAAAAUGUCACCAUUAGGAAAAUAUUUCGAACUUAGCACACGGUAGCACAAGGUGUCAUUGCAAGAAAUAAGCUACCACACUUGUCUCCCUAAAAGGGCCCCCAUUUCUUUAGGGAAACAAACCCUCUCCCACGCAAGCAUAGACCAACUUCGAUUUUUUUCAUUUCCCCCACCACAUACAACUUAUUUUUUAUUGUAAAUCCUCAAUAAUGCCUUUUGGAGAAAGGGAAAUCUAGAAAGCAUAAGUUGGGAUGGAU
rnacentral:lncRNA from 1 species